rnacentral:rRNA from 2 species
UAACGAUGAAGAGUUUGAUCCUGGCUCAGGAUGAACGCUAGCGGCAGGCCUAACACAUGCAAGUCGAACGGUAACAGGGAAGAGCUUGCUCUUUCGCUGACGAGUGGCGCACGGGUGCGUAACGCGUAUACAAUCUGCCUUUAAGCGGGGAAUAGCCCAUGGAAACGUGGAUUAAUACCCCAUAGUAUGUAGACUUCACCUGGAGACUACAUUAAACAUUUAUGGCUUAAAGAUGAGUAUGCGUCCUAUUAGUUAGUUGGUAAGGUAACGGCUUACCAAGACCGCGAUAGGUAGGGGUCCUGAGAGGGAGAUCCCCCACACUGGUACUGAGACACGGACCAGACUCCUACGGGAGGCAGCAGUGAGGAAUAUUGGACAAUGGAGGCAACUCUGAUCCAGCCAUGCCGCGUGCAGGAAGACGGCCCUAUGGGUUGUAAACUGCUUUUAUACGGGAAGAACCACAUCUACGUGUAGAUGCUUGACGGUACCGUAUGAAUAAGGACCGGCUAACUCCGUGCCAGCAGCCGCGGUAAUACGGAGGGUCCAAGCGUUAUCCGGAAUCAUUGGGUUUAAAGGGUCCGUAGGCGGAAUAAUAAGUCAGUGGUGAAAGUCUGCAGCUCAACUGUAGAAUUGCCAUUGAUACUGUUAUUCUUGAAUUAUUAUGAAGUGGUUGGAAUGAGUAGUGUAGCGGUGAAAUGCAUAGAUAUUACUCAGAACACCUAUUGCGAAGGCAGAUCACUAAUAAUAUAUUGACGCUGAGGGACGAAAGCGUAGGUAGCGAACAGGAUUAGAUACCCUGGUAGUCUACGCCGUAAACGAUGGUUACUAGCUGUCCGGCCUAAUUGAGGGCUGGGUGGUUAAGCGAAAGUGAUAAGUAACCCACCUGGGGAGUACGUUCGCAAGAAUGAAACUCAAAGGAAUUGACGGGGGCCCGCACAAGCGGUGGAGCAUGUGGUUUAAUUCGAUGAUACGCGAGGAACCUUACCAGGGCUUAAAUGCAGUCUGACAGGCGUGGAAACAUGCCCUUCUUCGGACAGAUUGCAAGGUGCUGCAUGGUUGUCGUCAGCUCGUGCCGUGAGGUGUCAGGUUAAGUCCUAUAACGAGCGCAACCCCUGUUGUUAGUUGCCAGCGAGUCAUGUCGGGAACUCUAACGAGACUGCCGGUGCAAACCGCGAGGAAGGUGGGGAUGACGUCAAAUCAUCACGGCCCUUACGUCCUGGGCCACACACGUGCUACAAUGGUAGGGACAGAGGGCAGCUACCCCGCGAGGGGAUGCGAAUCUUCAAACCCUAUCACAGUUCGGAUCGCAGUCUGCAACUCGACUGCGUGAAGCUGGAAUCGCUAGUAAUCGCAUAUCAGCCAUGAUGCGGUGAAUACGUUCCCGGGCCUUGUACACACCGCCCGUCAAGCCAUGGAAGCCGGGGGUACCUGAAGUCCGUCACCGUAAGGAGCGGCCUAGGGUAAAACUGGUAACUGGGGCUAAGUCGUAACAAGGUAGCCGUACCGGAAGGUGCGGCUGGAACACCUCCUUUCU